rnacentral:lncRNA from 1 species
CUAGCCGGAGGAAAUUAUAGAUUAAGGACAAAUCACAAGAAAUCUGAAGGAGAUAUUAUCUGAAAUCAAUGAAUGAAGUGGAAGAAGCAGGGCAAGUAGCGGAGAAAGCAAAGAUAAAUCCCAACAAAUAUCGAUGAAAGUGUGAGGAAUACACUUUUGCAUGCCUCCAUUACAUAUGGAGCAUCCUUCAGUGUCCCAUAUGAAGUUUAGGUGAGACUUCGUUCAAAUUCAUAUCAGCUGGAUGUUGUCAUUUUCCUGUAAGUAAAUAGGCAAUAACACAUGAUAAAGUAGAUAGAAAGGAUGAAGGUUGAUGAGAUAGUUGGGAGAGAUAAAGUCAGCCAUGUUUAACUGUCAAAGCUUCAUAAUGAUCUUUACCAAUACAUAAGCCGAUUAUACUAUAACAAAGGAAAGCAGGAGCAAGUAUAUCGAGGAAAACAGAAUUAAGGUGAAUAGGUUGUAACAGAACUGGAUAAGUCUCAAGCAAGUAUAUAUUAAUUGUAAUCCCAAUCAAACUUAAGCUUAUCCAAGUCUCAAUCAUCUUAUGCAAAACGUCGAAUGAAAGGGAUGCACAAUAUUUAACUUAACACUUUUAAAUCUUAGUUAUAUAAAGGAAUCAGAUACCAAAAUCAUAAGCUUGAAACGUAAGAUAAAAUGAGGGCUAUCUUAAAGUAAAACCAUAUAGAAAUUACUAAGCAACUAAUGUAAAUUCAAAUUGGUACAAACUUGUCACUAUUAUUUUGUUACAAAUGUAAUUCUCCAAGAAAACUAUUACUGAACACAUCAGUUAGCAUAUAUCACUAUAUAACACAUACAAAUAUUGCAGCUCUUACUUCUGUCAAGGUUUCACAGUUGCUUUAGUGAUUGUGCAAAAUAAUAUAGGCAAGUCCCUCAGUAAAUUAAAGCUCUUGCAGAAAGGAACAAACUCGGAAGAGAAGAAGUUGUCCAACAGAAUAGAGUUGAAGACAAAUCAGAAAUGAUGUUGCACCACAAAGAAUUCACACAACAAAAAUCAGAACAAUUCAAUUUAUGCCGAUGAAGUUAGCAGAGUCAAUGUAGACACGUUAGCAUCUGAAGCAAAAAUUGUACAAUCCAAAAGAUCUAAAAAACAAAAAUUAGCUCCUAAGACCUAAUAUCCGUUAUCUGUAAGUACCAUGACAACUGCAAGCUUUGUCAUAAAACUUAAUUUGUCUAAUAUCAAAAUUCAUGACAAUAACAUCGAUAAAUUAGCACAAAAAAAUGGCAAGAGAUUCAAGGAAAUAGUGGCAAGAGAUUGAAGGUGAGACAAAGAAAAGUCGAUCAAUCUGGAGAAGAAACGAAGGUAAAACCAAAACCAAAACACACAAUUACAUACAGAAUAAAGCGGCAGCCAGGUUUAGAGUUAGAUGGAGGCAGGUGGCUUAAGAAUUCAACACGUGUCAGACAUGGUUAAUGACAAAAAUACCCCUGGGAAGAAAGCUGGCAGGACAACGACCAGCUGCUUCCUUGGGCACUUCUAUAUAUAGAUAUAAACUCCUGCUACUUUACAUGAAUUUCACAAACUUGUGAACAUCAGGCAUGACGUAAAAGCAAGAAAUAUUUCCUAACCUUGACUGAUUCUGCAAAUAUGAACUUUUAGCUCCAUGUUGAUACUUAGUAAAAUAAGAAGAUAAGCUCAAGAGCAAUCAGUCACCACAAUUAAUUUCUUUCGCAUUGGGAAAACUAUUUGAAGUUGCCCUCCCUGCGAAGAAUAUACUAUGUGUUCCUUUAACAUAAGUGUAGAUUAAAAGAAGUUAAAAAGUAGGUAAAACUGAUAUUUUUGUUACUUAAUUGUGCAAAGAAAGUUCGGAUUUCUAACAAUGACAUUUUUUCAAACAUAUGUUAUAGGGAAAAGGGUCAGAAAAAUACAUCAAUUUUUCAUCAAUUUUGGCCGAAAUUGUUGUUACGAUACCUAUACCAAACUUUAUGGAGGACCUUCCCCCCCUGCACUAUUUAAUAGUGUAUUUUAAAAGUAUAUAUGUGCCUACGUGGACACGUUACUAUUUAUAAUGAUGCAAUAUUUAUGAUGUCCAUGUGGGCACAUAUAUACCUUUAAAAUACACUAUUAAAUAGUGUAGGGUAUAUUUCAGACCUUUUUUCCUAUGUUAUAGUAAAGAUCACCGGAGGAUAAUGACCAACUUGACAUCAACAACUCCCAAUUGUACCAAUGAUUGUUGUCUAUAGAACAAUUGAUUAAGUAAUAGCAGAUCAUGGCUUCACUCUCUUUCUUAUUUUUGGGAAAACUCUAUUACAGAAGUAUCAUGUAUUUGACAAUUGUAUAUACCUAAGCUAUGAAAUUCACAACAAAAUUGGAGGCGACUAAGCUAUGAAAUUCACAACAAAAUUGGAACAUCAUGAAUACUUUUUCGAGAGCACACUAAAAUGGUGGCAGUUAUAAGAUAUCAAACUGAUAUUUUUUUUCAUAUUAUGCUAAUUUUCCAUUAUAAAGCUUAAACCACCAAGAUAAGAUAAGUUGGCAUACUCCCAUAUAUGCCUUUAGUCCUGAUAGAAAAAUCAUGAUGCAACCCAAAAAGAGAAAUGAUAACAUGAAACUUUAAAUAAGUUAACUGAGGCAUAUUAUCAAACAACUUAGAUGCACAAUCCACUUGAUAUAAAGAUUUUUGUAAGACGAUCUAACUUUUGCACUAAUUAAUGGCUAGAAAAAUUAAAUUCAUCAAAGAAAAAUAAUGCAUGUGCAAAUCAAGCAGUUAGUAAGGCGCAUGUAGAAAUCUUAGCUAGAAACUAUAUCAAAAGAGUAGGAAACUAAGGCACACAUACGAAAUUGUAUUUACUUUUAAUGUCUGAAUCACAAUUCACAAAGAAUCGAAGUGACCAGCAAGAAAGAACUCAGAAGAACAAAUCAGAGCAAACAUAAUAGCGAGCAAAAAGUGAAAGGAUUUUAGCUUUGUGUACAUACUCUAGAGACAAAGUAAAGCAAAACCAAGGUGCAAUUUAGUACAGUAAAUUGGAACGGAGAAUUUGAAAAGAAAUAGAAGCACUGAGAAAUAGUAAAACUUGGAGUGGAGAAUUGGACAUAGUAGAAUUGAGACAACCAAUUUUGUUAUUAAUGUAUAUUACAGUUCAUUGGAGCAAAGAAUCGAGAUAACCAAUUUCGUUAUUCAUGUAUAUCACAUUCACAUAAGUAGAUACACAAGACAAUCAAUUUCAUGAACUUCGAGUAUCCAUAUUUGGACCAAAACAUUGCAAUCGUCAAAUCAGUGAGCUUCUAAUAUAAUUCAUUCAAUUUAGCAAAUUAUAAAUCUUUAUGGACCAAAAUAUUCAAAAUAAGAAGAAAAUCAAGAGUCUGCUAUCGCAAUCCCAUCACAAUGAAAUGGGUAAAACAAAGAAAGGAUGAAAGAGAAAGAAGAGAAAACAACACACAAUCAAACAUGCACCCAAGGAAAAGCUGAAACAAAGCAAUAAUCACACAUACCUUGUAGAAUUAAUCACACAAACAAAACAAUAAGAUGUUCAAAUUUUAAGUUCAAAAAGAUUGUUACCUAAACUGUAUUUGCUUUUUCUCUGUGUUGGGAAAUUUCAACAAUGGCAAAGAGCAGAUUUAUUAAUUUCCUGUAAAUAAAGAAAACACCCAACAAAUUAAGAACGUUUGAUAGUAGUUUCUUUACAAUUUCAAGAGUUUCAUUCGACAACUUCAUAAAG